AUGCUUACCUGGCAGGGGAGAUACCAUGACCAUGAAGGUGGCUUUCCCAGGGAGAGGCUUAUCCAAUGCACUACUAGGCUUUUCUCUUACCUGACAUUUUAAUGUGAGUUCAAUGGUAUCUGCAAUUGAAC
rnacentral:snRNA from 1 species